CCUACGGGAGGCAGCAGUGGGGAAUAUUGCACAAUGGGGGAAACCCUGAUGCAGCCAUGCCGCGUGUGUGAAGAAGGCCUUCGGGUUGUAAAGCACUUUCAGCGAGGAGGAAAGGUCAGUAGCUAAUAUCUGCUGGCUGUGACGUUACUCGCAGAAGAAGCACCGGCUAACUCCGUGCCAGCAGCCGCGGUAAU
rnacentral:rRNA from 2 species